rnacentral:rRNA from 1 species
AGUGAACGCUGGCGGUAGGCCUAACACAUGCAAGUCGAACGGCAGCACAGUAAGAGCUUGCUCUUACGGGUGGCGAGUGGCGGACGGGUGAGGAAUACAUCGGAAUCUACUUUUUCGUGGGGGAUAACGUAGGGAAACUUACGCUAAUACCGCAUACGACCUACGGGUGAAAGCAGGGGAUCUUCUGACCUGGCGGGGUUGAAUGAGCCGAUGUCGGAUUAGCUAGUUGGCGGGGUAAAGGCCAACCAAGGCGACGAUCGGUAGCUGGUCUGAGAGGAUGAUCAGCCACACUGGAACUGAGACACGGUCCAGACUCCUACGGGAGGCAGCAGUGGGGAAUAGUGGACAAUGGGCGCAAGCCUGAUCCAGCCAUACCGCGUGGGUGAAGAAGGCCUUCGGGUUGUAAAGCCCUUUUGUUGGGAAAGAAAAGCAGCAGGUUAAUACCCCGCUGUUCUGACGGUACCCAAAGAAUAAGCACCGGCUAACUUCGUG